rnacentral:rRNA from 1 species
UACGUAGGGGGCAAGCGUUGUCCGGAUUUAUUGGGCGUAAAGAGCGUGUAGGCGGCCAGAUAGGUCAGCUGUGAAAACUCGAGGCUCAACCUCGAGACGUCGGUUGAAACCAUCUGGCUAGAGUCCGGAAGAGGAGAGUGGAAUUCCCGGUGUAGCGGGUGAAAUGACGCAGAUAUCGGGAAAGAACACCCGUGGCGAAGGCGGCGAUCUGGGUCGAUACUGACGCUGAGGUGCGAAAGCGUGGGGAGC